CCUACGGGAGGCAGCAGUAGGGAAUAUUGCUCAAUGGGGGAAACCCUGAAGCAGCAACGCCGCGUGGAGGAUGAAGGUUCUCGGAUUGUAAAGCCCUUUUGUUAGAGAAGAUAAUGACGGUAUCUAACGAAUAAGCACCGGCUAACUACGUGCCAGCAGCCGCGGUAAUACGGAGGGUGCAAGCGUUAUCCGGAUUCACUGGGCGUAAAGAGCGCGCAGGCGGGAUAGCAAGUCAGAUGUGAAAUCCUAGGGCUUAACCCUAGAACUGCAUUUGAAACUGUUAGUCUAGAGUAUGGGAGAGGUAGGCGGAAUGCUUGGUGUAGCGGUGAAAUGCGUAGAGAUCAAGAGGAAUACUGAUUGCGAAGGCGGCCUGCUGGAUCAUAACUGACGCUGAUGCGCGAAAGCGUGGGGAGCAAACAGGAUUAGAUACCCCAGUAGUC
rnacentral:rRNA from 1 species